rnacentral:rRNA from 1 species
UAAGGCCGAGAGCUGAUGACGAGUGUUCUUUAGAACACGAAGUGGUUGAUGCCAUGCUUCCAAGAAAAGCUUCUAAGCUUCAGGUAACCAGGAACCGUACCCCAAACCGACACAGGUGGUUGGGUAGAGAAUACCAAGGCGCUUGAGAGAACUCGGGUGAAGGAACUAGGCAAAAUGGCACCGUAACUUCGGGAGAAGGUGCGCCGGUGAGGGUGAAGGACUUGCUCCGUAAGCUCAUGCCGGUCGAAGAUACCAGGCCGCUGCGACUGUUUAUUAAAAACACAGCACUCUGCAAACACGAAAGUGGACGUAUAGGGUGUGACGCCUGCCCGGUGCCGGAAGGUUAAUUGAUGGGGUUAGCUAACGCGAAGCUCUUGAUCGAAGCCCCGGUAAACGGCGGCCGUAACUAUAACGGUCCUAAGGUAGCGAAAUUCCUUGUCGGGUAAGUUCCGACCUGCACGAAUGGCGUAACGAUGGCGGCGCUGUCUCCACCCGAGACUCAGUGAAAUUGAAAUCGCUGUGAAGAUGCAGUGUAUCCGCGGCUAGACGGAAAGACCCCGUGAACCUUUACUAUAGCUUUGCACUGGACUUUGAAUUUGCUUGUGUAGGAUAGGUGGGAGGCUUUGAAGCGUGGACGCCAGUCUGCGUGGAGCCAACCUUGAAAUACCACCCUGGCAACUUUGAGGUUCUAACUCAGGUCCGUUAUCCGGAUCGAGGACAGUGUAUGGUGGGUAGUUUGACUGGGGCGGUCUCCUCCUAAAGAGUAACGGAGGAGUACGAAGGUGCGCUCAGACCGGUCGGAAAUCGGUCGUAGAGUAUAAAGGCAAAAGCGCGCUUGACUGCGAGACAGACACGUCGAGCAGGUACGAAAGUAGGUCUUAGUGAUCCGGUGGUUCUGUAUGGAAGGGCCAUCGCUCAACGGAUAAAAGGUACUCCGGGGAUAACAGGCUGAUACCGCCCAAGAGUUCAUAUCGACGGCGGUGUUUGGCACCUCGAUGUCGGCUCAUCACAUCCUGGGGCUGAAGCCGGUCCCAAGGGUAUGGCUGUUCGCCAUUUAAAGUGGUACGCGAGCUGGGUUUAGAACGUCGUGAGACAGUUCGGUCCCUAUCUGCCGUGGACGUUUGAGAUUUGAGAGGGGCUGCUCCUAGUACGAGAGGACCGGAGUGGACGAACCUCUGGUGUUCCGGUUGUCACGCCAGUGGCAUUGCCGGGUAGCUAUGUUCGGAAAAGAUAACCGCUGAAAGCAUCUAAGCGGGAAACUUGCCUCAAGAUGAGAUCUCACUGGAACCUUGAGUUCCCUGAAGGGCCGUCGAAGACUACGACGUUGAUAGGUUGGGUGUGUAAGCGCUGUGAGGCGUUGAGCUAACCAAUACUAAUUGCCCGUGAGGCUUGACCAU